rnacentral:misc_RNA from 1 species
GUGAAUCAUCAAAUUUUGAACGCAAAUUGCACUUUCUGGUAUUCCGGAAAGUAUGCCUGUUUGAGGGUCAGUUAAAUAAAAUCGGUGGUGUUGCUGCCUUUCGUGGUUACGCGUCGGAAUUGGGUCGUCUUACCUUCGGGUAAGGGACUUAAAAAUUUUGCAUGAUUUUUGAACGUAUUUAAAUUGCUUAAGUAAGUUUUAAAUU